AGAUAUGCCCAUCUGCUGCAGCCGCUGCGGGACCUCACCAAGAACUGGGACAUUGACCUGGCCAGCCAGCUUGGAGAGUAUCUUGAGGAGCUCGACCAGAUGACCAUUUCAUUUGAUGGUGGUUUAAAACCAUGAUGAACUUUGCAGAGGCUGCACUUUUAAAUCCAAGGAUCAACCUGCAUCUAUGGCAGAAAGGUGGAGCUCCUUCACACUCUGGUGUUUCAAAACACUGGACUACAUCUCUGACAAAAACAAGAAG